UACGGAGGGGGCUAGCGUUGUUCGGAAUUACUGGGCGUAAAGCGUACGUAGGCGGCUUUGUAAGUUAGAGGUGAAAGCCCGGGGCUCAACUCCGGAAUUGCCUUUAAGACUGCAUCGCUUGAAUCAUGGAGAGGUUAGUGGAAUUCCGAGUGUAGAGGUGAAAUUCGUAGAUAUUCGGAAGAACACCAGUGGCGAAGGCGACUAACUGGACAUGUAUUGACGCUGAGGUACGAAAGCGUGGGGAGCAAACAGGAUUAGAUACCCGAGGUAGUCC
rnacentral:rRNA from 1 species